CAGUAGCCGCGGUAAUACGUAGGGUGCGAGCGUUGUCCGGAAUUACUGGGCGUAAAGGGCUCGUAGGUGGUUUGUCGCGUCGUCUGUGAAAUUCUGGGGCUUAACUCCGGGCGUGCAGGCGAUACGGGCAUAACUUGAGUGCUGUAGGGGUAACUGGAAUUCCUGGUGUAGCGGUGAAAUGCGCAAAUAUCAGGAGGAACACCGAUGGCGAAGGCAGGUUACUGGGCAGUUACUGACGCUGAGGAGCGAAAGCAUGGGUAGCGAACAGGAUUAGAUACCCCAGUAGUCCCUGUCUCUUAUA
rnacentral:rRNA from 1 species